GUUUCUGUAGUUAAAGUUUUGUAACGAUGGCUUUUCAGGCUGUAGAUCUCGGAGAAAGGCCGAGCAGGAAUU
rnacentral:tRNA from 1 species